rnacentral:rRNA from 3 species
UGGGGAAUAUUGCACAAUGGAGGGAACUCUGAUGCAGCGACGCCGCGUGAACGAAGAAGGCUUUCGAGUCGUAAAGUUCUUUUAUAUGGGAAGAUAAUGACGGUACCAUAAGAAAAAGCCCCGGCUAACUACGUGCCAGCAGCCGCGGUAAUACGUAGGGGGCUAGCGUUGUCCGGAAUCACUGGGCGUAAAGGGUUCGCAGGCGGAAAUGCAAGUCAGGUGUAAAAGGCAGUAGCUUAACUACUGUAAGCAUUUGAAACUGCAUAUCUUGAGAGGAGUAGAGGUAAGUGGAAUUUUUAGUGUAGCGGUGAAAUGCGUAGAUAUUAAAAAGAAUACCGGUGGCGAAGGCGACUUACUGGGCUCAUUCUGACGCUGAGGAACGAAAGCGUGGGUAGCAAACAGG